AAAGUCCAAGCCCACACAGAACGGACCGGUUCACACAAAGAAAGAGAGAGACAUUGUGUUUGAAACCUAAUUUGCUACUAACAACAAAAACAACGAAGUGCUAUUGCUGUGUCGGUGCCGUUUUGCUCUGUGUCACCGGUCGUUGUUGUGUCGGCGCCGUUUUACUAUGUGUUACCGAUCGUUGUUGUGAGUCUAUCUCCGAUCAUCAUGUUGUUGUAGUUGUGUCGGUUGUGUUCUGUCUUGUUUGCUUAUUCAUUUUUCGUUUUAGGUAGAAUUUUACAAGCUAGCAUGUGGUUCUGUAUCUCUCAUAGUCUACGGGAGAUUACGACAAGGAUUUGUGGAAGAUUAGCAAGGAAAUUUUUUUUGGAUGUCCAUUGAAUGUAUAAAGGAAAGAUUGUUGAAGUUAUUUAAGCGCUAAUGUGAUAAGAUAAUAGAUUUCAUAGUUGUGACUGACCGAAGAAGCAAUUCUGCGACGAGAUAUAUAUGCAAUGCAACCAAAUAUGGGCCAAGGAGGAGGACCAUUUAAGUGAUGAGAACGACAUAGGUGAUGAUGAUGAGGACGAUGGCGCGAGUGGCAAAUUUCAAGAGGACGACUCUUGUAGGGAAAGGUGUGAGCGACGACUUAAGUGAUGAGGGCGACAUUGGUAAUUUCAAGAGGAUGACUUAGGUGAUCAUGACCUAGCAUAGAUGAUGAAGAGGAUGAUGGAGAUGACAAUGAGUUCGAUAAAUUUUGAUGAGUUGGAUGUUGUUGUUUUAGGCUUCUACUUAAGCAUCAAAUUGUAUUUUGUCAUUUUGCUAGACUUAAACUUCUAAGUGUUAAAUUUGUAGGAUUAAGUAAUGUUAUACAUUUUGUGUUUAUUGUGUGUAUUUGAGUUAAUGUUUGUAUAUUUUAUUAACACGCUUUUUGUAGUACAUACAAUUUAAGUUUGAUGUAAUUAUUGUUUGAAUUGUUUAUUUGAUGAAAAAUAUGGUAAAAAGUA